CAUUGAGUCUCCAUGAGGAGCAGUGGAUUGUUUGUCCUCCUCUGUCUUGAUCAGUCUCUUGUUGUCAGGAUGGAUCUGGGCCUCGCGAGGAGCCUUAUCUGGAGACACAGUGGGCUCAGGGGGGAUUGGAUUGUGAUUACAGAUCUCACCAAAAGGAGCUCCUAACUUUCACCCGGUGAAACUGGGAAGAGGCCACAAUGACUGCGUCAUCUUUAUACCGUCUGCAGACGUUUGUAGCUGCAGAGAUUACCAUGAAAACUCAGAAAUGUAACUUUUCUUAGUACGCAACCGAUCAUUCGAAACCUCCGAGCAUUUGAGCUUC